AGGGAUAUGAUGUUAACGGCAGCAUAACGGUCUCCAAAACCGCUUGUUCGGGUUCGAAUCCUGAUAUCCCUGCCA
rnacentral:tRNA from 1 species